CAGUUAGAUCUCUCAGCCUUGAGAAGCCUAGGAUGGAGGUCUGGCCAAAACUUUCUCCUGAGGAGAUACUCACCUUUUUCUCUCAUGAAGAGAACAUGGAGCAAGAGGUGAGCCCCUGAGGCAGACAAGGAACAAACUGGGAGAAUGGGAAGGAGGCAAGGAAGAAGAAGCUGGAGUGACCAUGACUACAAGUGAUAUGGAAGGGGAGCAGAAGUUGAAACGCCCUUAGAGGGACUGUGACCAGGCAAUAAGGAACCUACAUAGACUAAAUACAGAUCUGCUGAAUAAUUGUUUAUGUUACUCAGACCAAAAAUGGUGAUCCUUCCCUUUACUCCCAUAUUCUUGCUCUCUCAGGAACCCAGCUUAUUUUUCUAGCCUCUAUAUCUUAAGAGUUUGUUUUGCUUUCCUUCUCAAUUGUUUUGAAAACUGGCUUCACGAAGAUAAAGAAGUUAACCAUU